AGAAUGACCAUCUUCUAAGUCCUACAUCUAGAAUCUCAUUUCUGUUACUGUGUCUUUCAGUUGCCUCCUGUCUCUGUUAUACUUGACACACCUGAGCUGUUAUUGGAUUCAUGUAAAACAACAUGGUUUCACGCAGUCUGGAGGAGUUUUACCAUGGUAACAUAUCAACAGACAACUGUUGUUUUCUCAGGUUUGUCCUUUAUAGUUGCUCUAUUUUUUUCAAUGCUGCUUGAAUGUCAUUUCCCCAAAAUGUCUGCCUCUUUGCCUAUUGAGAGAGUUGCUCUUUAAAAGGUAACGUCAUUCACCAUGUAUCAACCAUCCUCCAUUAAAUCUCAUGUAAACAUCCCGAGGAGGCCUGUUGUCUGGCUAUGAUGAAGAAAAUGUGAUUGUGAUGUGUACAAUAUGUUCUGGAGUAGUCGCUACAGAAUACAGCCCAACGGAAGUAGCCUGGCAGGUUAUUGACCCUGAGACAUAUCUAUACAGUACAGUAGAGGGUCAACUGGGUUUGAGGUUUAGUAUCUGUAAUGGGCGCCACUGUUAGCACCCAAAGUAUCAUGCCAUGAUUAUUCCAGUCAGAAUGUAAAUUAGAAUGUUAUGAUGGUGAUUGGUUAGCCUGGGUAUAUCAGUAUGCUUGGACCAUCAUGUCACUCCUUGCCACUUCCUGGCAUCCAAACAUGACAAUGAAUGGAAUGAUGGCACAACACGGAUCUGGGAGCAGCAGGUUAGACACGGAUCUGGGAGCAGCAGGUUAGACACUGAUCUGGGAGCAGCAGGUUAGACACUGAUCUGGGAGCAGCAGGUUAGACACUGAUCUGGGAGCAGCAGGUUAGACACUGAUCUGGGAGCAGCAGGUUAGACACUGAUCUGGGAGCAGCAGGUUAGACACUGAUCUGGGCACUGAUCUGGGAGCAGCAGGUUAGACACUGAUCUGGGAGCAGCAGGUUAGACACUGAUCUGGGAGCAGCAGGUUAGACACUGAUCUGGGAGCAGCAGGUUAGACACUGAUCUGGGAGCAGCAGGUUAGACACUGAUCUGGGAGCAGCAGGUUAGACACUGAUCUGGGAGCAGCAGGUUAGACACUGAUCUGGGAGCAGCAGGUUAGACACUGAUCUGGGAGCAGCAGGUUAGACACUGAUCUGGGAGCUGCAGGUUAGUGUUUGGUGCCAACACGGAGGUUAGACACUGAUCUGGGAGCAGCAGGUUAGACACUGAUCUGGGAGCAGCAGGUUAGACACUGAUCUGGGAGCAGCAGGUUAGACACUGAUCUGGGAGCAGCAGGUUAGACACUGAUCUGGGAGCAGCAGGUUAGACACUGAUCUGGGAGCUGCAGGUUAGACACUGAUCUGGGAGCUGCAGGUUAGUGUUUGGUGCCAACACGGAGGUUAGACACUGAUCUGGGAGCAGCAGGUUAGUGUUUGGUGCCAGUGGUUAGUUUGCUGAAGUGUAGUGUAUAUCUGUUGCUCGUCACUGUCCCCCUUUAACACCAAGCAUGAGGCCUAAAGGCAGCGAUGGACUCGGGUAACGAACUAAUGAAACAGAAGAGAACCCCGUUCUAUCUACGACGUGACCCGUUUUGUCCUGUCAUGGAAACUCAGUGGAUGAGGUCUUCGAGAUUUGAUCGAUUCUGUCUCCCCCCCCCAAAAAAACGUCAAAACGUC